GACGAACGCUGGCGGCGUGCCUAAUACAUGCAAGUAGAACGCUGAAGAGAGGAGCUUGCUCUUCUUGGAUGAGUUGCGAACGGGUGAGUAACGCGUAGGUAACCUGCCUUGUAGCGGGGGAUAACUAUUGGAAACGAUAGCUAAUACCGCAUAACAAUGGAUGACACAUGUCAUUUAUUUGAAAGGGGCAAUUGCUCCACUACAAGAUGGACCUGCGUUGUAUUAGCUAGUAGGUGAGGUAACGGCUCACCUAGGCGACGAUACAUAGCCGACCUGAGAGGGUGAUCGGCCACACUGGGACUGAGACACGGCCCAGACUCCUACGGGAGGCAGCAGUAGGGAAUCUUCGGCAAUGGGGGCAACCCUGACCGAGCAACGCCGCGUGAGUGAAGAAGGUGUUCGGAUCGUAAAGCUCUGUUGUAAGUCAAGAACGAGUGUGAGAGUGGAAAGUGCACACUGGGACGGUAGCGUACCAGAAAGGGACGGCUAACUACGU
rnacentral:rRNA from 1 species